GGAAAAGAAGAGAAAAAAAAGAAACAAAACACAAGCCUAAUAUACUCCCCCAGGGGACCACAGCAUCUGAGCAUCUACGAAGCUUUAGCAACUCUGUUCCUAACUGCUCACGCAUUUCUGCAGCCCCAGCUGCCAAAUCGGAACAAAUGGCUACAGAUCUCCUCUUGAACAAAGCUGAAGACAAACACUCCGGGCAUCAGCUGCCGGGCUGGCCUAUGUAUGAAGGGUUUGUUGGAAAGAGAGCUGUCCAGGGUACUCUGGGACCUGAGUUCCGCUCCUGGGACCUGAGUUCCGGUCCUGUCUGGUUCACAGCAUUGAAGAACGCAGAUGCAGAGAGAGUAGCUGACUUGCUGUAGUCUUCCAGCGAGAGCAAGUUGGAGCUGAGGUAGAAUGGCCGGGGGAGCCACAGUUUGGAAAGCCUUGGUACCAGGUCGAGGAGUCUCCAUUUUAUUGGGUGCACAGCCCACAUGCAUGAAAGAGGAAAUCAUAAAAUAUGGAAUGAACACCAGUGGUCGCUGGUAAAAAGCUACAAUCGGGAAGGCAAGGAAGACAACCUCACCUGAUGACUUUGGGCGAACUUCUGAACCUUGUUGACCAUUGACUCCUCUGUGUCAAAGGGAAGAGCUGGAUUCAGAGAUCUCUACAGCUCCUUCCUUCACUAUCCAGCUAUAAAUGCCCCUUUGAAAUUACUUUGGAGGAAGGAGAAUUCAUUUCAUUUCAUGCUUUCAUGGCUUUAUGCAUUCAUUCCACUGUCCUUUCCUUUAACAAAUACUUAUGCAUGUGCCAC
rnacentral:lncRNA from 1 species